AGGGCAUAAUUUAACGAGAAUGUUGGCUUUGGGGGCCAGUAGUAGAGGUUGAUUUCCUUUUGUCUUGA
rnacentral:tRNA from 1 species